rnacentral:tRNA from 1 species
GAGGGUAUAGCUCAGUGGUAAAGCAUGUGCUUAGCAUGCACGAAGUCCUGGGUUUAAUCUCCAGUUUCUCCA